rnacentral:rRNA from 1 species
GAAGGGGGCGAGCGUUGUUCGGAAUCACUGGGCGUAAAGGGCGCGUAGGCGGCGCGACUAGUCAGGCGUGAAAGCCCCAAGCUCAACUUGGGAAUUGCGCUUGAUACUGUCGUGCUAGAGAGCGGGAGAGGAUGGUGGAAUUCCCAGUGUAGAGGUGAAAUUCGUAGAUAUUGGGAAGAACACCGGUGGCGAAGGCGGCCAUCUGGACCGUUUCUGACGCUGAGGCGCGAAAGCGUGGGGAGCAAACAGGAUUAGAUACCCUGGUAGUCCACGCCGUAAACGAUGAGUGUUAGACGUUGGCGGGCUUGCCCGUCAGUGUCGUAGCUAACGCGUUAAGCACUCCGCCUGGGAAGUACGGCCGCAAGGUUAAA